GAGGAAUAUUGAUCAAUGGACGGAAGUCUGAACCAGCCAUGCCGCGUGGAGGAAGAAGGUCCUAUGGGUUGUAAACUCCUUUUGUUCCAGAGUAAUAAGGGCUUUGCGAAGUCCGAUGAGAAUAUGGGACGAAUAAGCAUCGGCUAACUCC
rnacentral:rRNA from 1 species